AAACUUUUUUACUCCAUCUGCUAUUAUUUUUUUAAAUUUAUUUUUUGUGGUGUUGAGGAUUGAAUCCAGUGCCUCACAUGUGCUAGGUGAGCACUCUACCACUGAGCUGCAACUCCAGCCCCUAUGUAUAUAUCUAAUCAUGACCAAAAAAAUAUUUACUGAAGUACCAAGGCACCUCUCAGCUUUAAAUAUCUAGGGCCACCUGACUCUCCCCUUUCCAUGGCGUGUGUACACUAAUUUUCCUUAGCUGCGUGUGCCUUGGGAGUAACAAGAAGCUAUGAAAAUUGAGAACUUAAAUGUAAAUUAAUGAAAUCAAUCUGAAACCUUGUAGUUUCAAACCUCAUUCACCAUUUGAUGUAUAGAAUUUAAUUUCAUCUUGCGCAAAUGUAAUUUAAUUUAUUCCAUAGUGAUGUUCAAUAGUUGCAAAGACUAAAGAGUUGUUUUUUUUUUUUUAAAGAAAUCUACCAAGGACUAUUGUGAAAUGUAUACAGAACCUAAAGUGAAAAAGAGAUAAAUCAAUUUGACUUCUCAAAAAAAAAAAAAAGGAAGAAACUCAAAACCUCCCUUGGGGAAUAUACUGAGUUAUACAUUCUCCUUUUUGUUGCUCAAUAAAUAAGGAAUGUUUGUGGCUGUAGUUGUAGCUCAGUGGUAGAGUGCUUGUCUAGCAUGUGUGAGGGACUUGGUUUGAUUCUUAGCACACAUAAAAAUAAAUAAAUAAAAUAAAGGUAUUGUAUCCAUCUACAAUUAAAAACAUUAAAAAAAUUAAAAAGGAAUGUUUGGUAAUUAUGACAGGAAUGAAACCAAUGGGAAUGGGGGAUGAAUUCUGUUCCUAGUAGCACUGUGAGGUCACUAGGUACUUUUGACCAAGGCCCAUAAUCUCUGGGAGCUCCUCCUUUUUAAAGACAAGCAACUAAAUAUGGAAACAGCAUUUAUAAAUGCUUGUGUAGCAUGAAUGAGGUUCAAAAGACAGGUUCUUUCUCAUGUGUCUCUUCAUCAGUAUGAUGUCUCAGAGAUAGUAAUUUAUAAUAAAACAUAGUGUUGAUGGACCUUUAUUUUAUUAAUUUAUUUAUAUUUAGAUUAUAAAGCUGGUGCCACUCUUGACCUCUGGAAAGCUUUGGUUUAAGGAAGACUUUUCUUAGCAAGCUUUCUGCUCUAGAAGAUCAAUCCACAUUUGGCUGGGAGUAUUGGUUCUGAGCUAAGGCCCAUGGGAAAAGUCCAAGUUUCUGUGACAAACUAAAACCAGUAGUCAGCAUUCCCUAACAUUCAAGGGCUGGACUUGAUAACUAAAAAAUCUGGGUUCAGAAGAAAUGGUGCAGCUGGGCCCAUGCCUGUAAUUCCCGCAGCUUGGGAGGCUGAGGCAGGAGCAUUGGUUCAAAGGCAGCCUCAGCAACUCAGCAAGGCCCUAAGCAACUUAGUGAGACUCUGUCUUUUUUUUUUAAGAGAGAGAUGAGAGGAGAGAGAGAGAGAGAGAAUUUUUUUAAUAUUUAUUUUUUAGUUUUCGGCAGGCACAACAUUUUUGUUUGUAUGUGGUGCUGAGGAUCGAACCUGGGCCGCACGCAUGCCAGGUGAGCGCACUACCGCUUGAG
rnacentral:lncRNA from 1 species